rnacentral:lncRNA from 1 species
AUGGGCAUAGAAAUGUCCAUUUUAUCCUUUGCUAAAGAUAAUUAUCCCAGAGAAACAGAAAUAAGGAGAAAAAAAGAAGCAGAAUGUUUCCUGAUAUCAAUAUCUGUGCAAGGAAUCCAAGGAAUAUCUGUGCAAGGAGAUGUUUCAGGUAUCUAUCCUCUGGCUCAAUUCCUCUUUCCCUAGCCCUGAGGUAAGCUAAACAGUUGUCAUUCCUCUCCUGCACUCCCUAAAGUGUAUAUAAAACUUCAAGUUCUUUAGUGUUGGAAAUUCCCAUUUGUGGCCCAUUUUUCUGGAAGCAUUAUUCCCAGUGUUUCAGAGAUUAGCUCUGUGUGGUAUUGAUGUGUGGGCAUAUGGCUUUGCAUGAUGGCUAUAAGAGCAUUAUCUCUCUUAUCCUGAUUAAAGGU